rnacentral:rRNA from 1 species
AUGGACCCAUUCCAGAUCAUGUCCCGGCGCAUGGUCCUGCCGGAGCAGACGACGGCCUGGCUACCGCCGGCGCUGGAGACGACCGUCGACCUGACGUCAUGGGACCUCCGGAUGAUUACCUUGGAAUACAUCCAGAUGGGCGUCCUCCUGCCCAAGCCUCCCAGUCCCACCACGGGCCGAGGAGGACAGGGACACCAUGCCCACGUCGCCGAACGCCUCGCAUCGUCCUUGGCGCGCGCCCUGGGACGCUACUACCCCUACGCCGGCCGCCUCGCCGUUGCGCUGGGCGGGGACGGCGGAAGCACGAGCAUCGCAGUCUCGCUCCGCUGCAGCAGGGAGGGCACCGAGCUCGUCCACGCCGUGGCUCCCGGCGUCACCGUCGCCGACGUCGUCGCGCCGCUGUGUACACCGGGGGUGGUCCAGUCUUUCUUCCCGCUCAACGGGCUGGUCAGCGUGGACGCCGCCGCGGGAUCCCACCCGCUCCCGGCCGCGCAGGUCACCGAGCUUGCCGACGGCGUCUUCGUCACCAUGUCGCUCAACCAUGCGAGUGACGGCGCCGCCAUCUCCUCGACGCUGCCGGUGCACCGGAGGUGGUUCCUUGACGGCUGCCGUGUCCCGAUGCCCUUCCGCAAACUGGAGGACAUCGUCGGCCAUGAGCACUCAUCAUCAGUGCAGCAGCAGGAGUGCUUCCUCCAUUUCUCUGGAGAGAGCGUAAGGAAGCUCAAAGAAAAGGCGAAUGCCGAGGCGGCCGGCACCGGCAGUGUCGGCGCCACCAUCUCCUCGUUGCAGGCCCUGCUGGCGCACCUGUGGAUCGCGGUGUGCCGGGCGAGGAGGCUGGCGCCGGAUCAGAGCACGACAUACGCCCUGCUCAUCGGAUGCCGGGGCCGUGUGGACGGCGUAUCGGCGGGCAACGCCGUGGUGCGCGUCGAGGUGGGGUCCACCGCCGGCGAGAUCCUGAAGUUGGGGCUGGGAUGGACCGCGUCGCUGCUGAACAGAAUGGUGGCCUCGUUCGACGAGGCGAGCGAGCGGGACAGGCUCGCGUCCUGGCCGCGAAACCCGAGCUUCGCGUGCGUGUCGCCGCCCCCCGCGGCGCUGGUGGUGACCGGGAACUCGCCGCGGUUCGACGUGUACGGGGACGACUUCUGGUGGGGCCGGCCGGUGGGUGUGCGGAGCGGCCCGACGAGCAAGAUGGACGGGACGGCGACGGUGUUUGAGGGCGGAGGCGGCAUAGGGAGCAUGGCUCUGGAGGCGUGCCUUGACCCGGAGGCGCUCGUGAGGCUCGUCGCCGACGAGGGGUUCAUGAGCACGGUGAGCGCGGCCACGGAGUGA